rnacentral:misc_RNA from 1 species
UCCGGUUUAUCACCGGCAGUCUCCGCAGAGUGCCCACCAUAACGUGAUGGCAACAGCGGACAAGGGUUGCGCUCGUUGCGGGACUUAACCCAACAUCUCACGACACGAGCUGACGACAGCCAUGCAGCACCUCGACGAGUGUCCUUGCGGAAGCCCACUUUCGUGGGAUGUCACUCGCCGUUCGAGCCUGGGUAAGGUUCUUCGCGUUGCGUCGAAUUGAACCACAUGCUCCACCGCUUGUGCGGGCCCCCGUCAAUUCAUUUGAGUUUCAUUCUUGCGAACGUACUCCCCAGGUGGGUUACUUAUCACUUUCGCUUAGCCACUCAGUCUUACGACCAAACAGCUAGUAACCAUCGUUUACGGCGUAGACUAC